GCCCCCGUAGCUCAGUUGGAUAGAGCAAGCGUUUCCUAAACGCUAGGUCGGAGGUUCGAUUCCUCUCGGGGGCA
rnacentral:tRNA from 1 species